AUUGAACGCUGGCGGCAUGCCUUACACAUGCAAGUCGAACGGUAACGCGGGGCAACCUGGCGACGAGUGGCGAACGGGUGAGUAAUGCAUCGGAACGUGCCCAGUAGUGGGGGAUAGCCCGGCGAAAGCCGGAUUAAUACCGCAUACGACCCAAGGGUGAAAGCGGGGGAUCGCAAGACCUCGCGCUAUUGGAGCGGCCGAUGUCAGAUUAGGUAGUUGGUGGGGUAAAGGCCUACCAAGCCGACGAUCUGUAGCUGGUCUGAGAGGACGACCAGCCACACUGGGACUGAGACACGGCCCAGACUCCUACGGGAGGCAGCAGUGGGGAAUUUUGGACAAUGGGCGCAAGCCUGAUCCAGCCAUGCCGCGUGCGGAAAGA
rnacentral:rRNA from 1 species